rnacentral:rRNA from 2 species
UCAGAUGACGCUAGCUACAGGCUUAACACAUGCAAGUCGAGGGGCAGCAUGGUCUUAGCUUGCUAAGGCCGAUGGCGACCGGCGCACGGGUGAGUAACACGUAUCCAACCUGCCGUCUACUCUUGGACAGCCUUCUGAAAGGAAGAUUAAUACAAGAUGGCAUCAUGAGUCCGCAUGUUCACAUGAUUAAAGGUAUUCCGGUAGACGAUGGGGAUGCGUUCCAUUAGAUAGUAGGCGGGGUAACGGCCCACCUAGUCUUCGAUGGAUAGGGGUUCUGAGAGGAAGGUCCCCCACAUUGGAACUGAGACACGGUCCAAACUCCUACGGGAGGCAGCAGUGAGGAAUAUUGGUCAAUGGGCGAGAGCCUGAACCAGCCAAGUAGCGUGAAGGAUGACUGCCCUAUGGGUUGUAAACUUCUUUUAUAAAGGAAUAAAGUCGGGUAUGGAUACCCGUUUGCAUGUACUUUAUGAAUAAGGAUCGGCUAACUCCGUGCCAGCAGCCGCGGUAAUACGGAGGAUCCGAGCGUUAUCCGGAUUUAUUGGGUUUAAAGGGAGCGUAGAUGGAUGUUUAAGUCAGUUGUGAAAGUUUGCGGCUCAACCGUAAAAUUGCAGUUGAUACUGGAUAUCUUGAGUGCAGUUGAGGCAGGCGGAAUUCGUGGUGUAGCGGUGAAAUGCUUAGAUAUCACGAAGAACUCCGAUUGCGAAGGCAGCCUGCUAAGCUGCAACUGACAUUGAGGCUCGAAAGUGUGGGUAUCAAACAGGAUA